rnacentral:tRNA from 1 species
AUUUAUAUAGUUUAAUUAAAAACAUUACAUUUUCACUGUAAAAAUAAAAACCAAUAUUUUUAUAAAUU